UUUCAUGAACUAACUCCCUCAUCGAGGCAAAACGUUUUCAGAAAAAGAUUCGCUAAAUUAAGAUUCCGGGAAAUCCUCGAUCAAGCUCCUGUGGCAUCACAUGCAUUGAGCCAAGUCACACCAAAAGCUCCUGUGUCACCUCCGAAUCAGUGAG
rnacentral:lncRNA from 1 species